AAGAGAUGGCGACCGGCGCACGGGUGAGUAACACGUAUCCAACCUGCCGAUAACUCCGGAAUAGCCUUUCGAAAGAAAGAUUAAUACCGGAUGGCAUACGAAUAUCGCAUGAUAUUUUUAUUAAAGAAUUUCGGUUAUCGAUGGGGAUGCGUUCCAUUAGUUUGUUGGCGGGGUAACGGCCCACCAAGACUACGAUGGAUAGGGGUUCUGAGAGGAAGGUCCCCCACAUUGGAACUGAGACACGGUCCAA
rnacentral:rRNA from 1 species